rnacentral:snRNA from 1 species
CCCUGCACAAGGAUGACACGCAAAUUCAUGAAGUGUUCCAUAUUU